rnacentral:rRNA from 1 species
CGCAUCCUGGGGCUGCAGUAGGUCCCAAGGGUUGGGCUGUUCGCCCAUUAAAGCGGUACGUGAGCUGGGUUCAGAACGUCGUGAGACAGUAAGUGACCGCUGCUGUCUAUAAAUCUGGCUAUAUGCUGGAAAGCCUGGGGUAUCCCAUGCUACCCUCCCAAAACCCCUCGGUGCGAUGCCGAAGGAGUGAGGGGGGGUCACAACGCGAUGGGUGCAGGCAAUCAGCAGGGAAGGCCAGACGAGCAGAUCGGCCACUACAGUGCGGGUUUUGUCGACGGAGAAGGUAGUUUCCACGUGGCGGUCCAGUGUAAUCCCACCACGCGGUUGAAGUGGCAGGUGGUUCCGGAGUUCCACGUUUCCCAGAACGAUGGGAAUCAGCAUGUGCUGGCGCUGAUUCGAGAUAUGCCGGGAUGUGGAUACAUCAAGCCGAACCACCAGCGCAGUAUUCGCGACAGAACCUACGUGCUGGUGGUAAGAAAUCACGCCGACCUUGCGGGGAAGGUGGUACCGUUCUUUAGGCGGUAUCCCCUGCGCACGACCAAGCGCGCCGACUUUGAUCGGUUCGCAGAAGUCGUCGCGAUGGUCGAUGAAGGCAGGCACCUCGCUCGAACCGGGUUGAGGGAGGUCCUGGCGCUCGCCUUCUCGAUGAAUCAAGCCGGCGUGAGGCGGCGCAAGCCGCUCGACGCGAUCCUUGCUCAUCUGGAACCCUCAGAGACUAUACGCCAGACGCUCAAUAUCGGGCGAAGAUAUAGUCCGAGCUUCCAGGCGACUGGAAGAGGCAGGCAGAAAUGACCUGCCCCCUCCGCAUGCAGGGAGGUGUAACAGAACUGUCGGUCCCUAUCCACUGCGGGCGCAGGUGACUUGAGGGGAGCUGCUCCUAGUACGAGAGGACCGGAGUGGACGGACCUCUGGUGUACCGGUUGUCCUGCCAAGGGCACGCGCCGGGUAUCUAUGUCCGGACGGGAUAAGCGCUGAAAGCAUCUAAGCGCGAAGCCCACCCCAAGAUGAGGUCACCCACCGGGUGAACCGGGUAAGUCCCCUGGGAGACGACCAGGUUGAUAGGCCGCGGGUGCAAGGCCGCAAGGCUCAGCCUAGCGGUACUAAUAGGACGAGGGCUUGCCUGC